rnacentral:rRNA from 1 species
GACGAACCGUGCGAACGUUGUUCGGAAUCACUGGGCUUAAAGGGCGCGUAGGCGGGUCGGCAAGUCCGGGGUGAAAUACUUCGGCCUAACCGGAGAAGUGCUUCGGAUACUGCCGGCCUCGAGGGAGGUAGGGGCAUGUGGAACUUCCGGUGGAGCGGUGAAAUGCGUAGAUAUCGGAAGGAACGCCGGUGGCGAAGGCGGAUCUCUGGGCCUUGCCUGACGCUGAGGCGCGAAAGCUAGGGGAGCGAACAGG